rnacentral:rRNA from 1 species
UGUAAGCGUAUACCAAAGUUGUUGCAGUUAAAACGCUCGUAGUCGGACUUUGGCAGUUCCGGAUGUGUGCACGUCGUGUGCGCACUUCGAGGGGAUUGCUUUUGUGGUCUUGCGUAGGAUGAGGCACUUUUAUUAGUGAACGUCCUCACGCAACCACUUUUUACUGUGAGAAAAUCAGAGUGCUCAAAGCAGGCAUUUGCCGUGAAUGUAUUAGCAUGGAAUAAUAGAAUAGGACUUGGUUCUAUUUUGUUGGUUUGUUGGGACUGAGUAAUGAUUAAGAGGGACAGUUGGGGGCAUUUGUAUUUCGGUGCUAGAGGUGAAAUUCUUAGAUUACCGAAAGACAAACUGCUGCGAAAGCGUCUGCCAAGGAUGUUUUCAUUGA